rnacentral:sRNA from 1 species
ACCCCGUCAGCCUGAACCCACACACGUGUCGGCACGAUGGCCUGGGUGCCGCGAAUCACUGGAUUCGCGGUUGGUCAUUGGGAUGCGUGGAGGCCCAAC